rnacentral:rRNA from 1 species
UACGUAGGGUGCAAGCGUUUGUCCGGAAUUAUUGGGCGUAAAGAGCUCGUAGGCGGUUUGUCGCGUCUGCUGUGAAAACUCGGGGCUUAACUCCGGGCCUGCAGUGGGUACGGGCAGACUAGAGUGCGGUAGGGGGAGACUGGAAUUCCUGGUGUAGCGGUGAAAUGCGCAGAUAUCAGGAGGAACACCGGUGGCGAAGGCGGGUCUCUGGGCCGUAACUGACGCUGAGGAGCGAAAGCGUGGGGAGCGAACAGG